rnacentral:rRNA from 1 species
UACAGGGGGUGCAAACGUCGCUCGGAAUUAUUGGGCGUAAAGCGCGCGUAGGCGGCUACUUAAGUCGGAUGUGAAAGCCCUUGGCUCAACUGAGGAAGUGCACCCGAAACUGAGUGGCUAGAGUACGAAAGAGGGUCGCGGAAUUCCCGGUGUAGAGGUGAAAUGCGUAGAUAUCGGGAGGAGCACCAGUGGCGAAGGCGGCUUCCUGGGCCAGUACUGACACUGAGGCGCGACAGCGUGGGGAGCAAACAGG